GAUGAAGAACGCAGCGAAAUGCGAUAAGUAAUGUGAAUUGCAGAAUUCAGUGAAUCAUCGAGUCUUUGAACGCAACUUGCGGCCGCUGGUAUUCCGGCGGCCAUGCCUGUCCGAGCGCCACUACAACCCUCAGGCUCACCCGCCUGGCGUUGAGGGCUGCCGCCACUCGGCGGCGGCCCCCGAAAAGCAGUGGCAGCGACGCAGCGGCGUGACGUGUGUAGUAACUUCACUGGCACGGAGCCCCUGCGUUCGCCCGCCGGCGAACCCCAACUCACAAGGUUGGCCUCGGAUCAGGUAGGAUUACCCGCUGAACUUAAGCAUAUCAUAAGCGGAGGA
rnacentral:misc_RNA from 1 species